AAAGUUUCUACAAAAACAAAAAGCCCACCACAGGAUAACAAAGGCAACAAAAACCUUACUGUACAGGUUAAACUUUCUCUGUACUGCACCUUAUCAGACUAAAUACCAAAUCACAUUUUGCACAUAUUUCUGUUGUCAGUGUGUCAAACAGAGUCAGACGUGGUGAGGCUGCUGUUGAUCUUACAUGGAACAGGCCGAAGGUUUCCCAGUGUAGAGUACACCUGGGUCUGUGAUGCACACUGGGACACAAGCUCAGGCAAUGGAGAAGCUCCUACUGGAGACUACUUCCAGUGAAGGCACGAUGUGAGGCUGUAGGAUCCAUCUGUGUUGUUUCUAUAAUUCCAGUUGAUGUCAGAUGUGUUUUGAUUUUCUUCAAAUGGACAUUCAAGUGAAGUGUUCAUGUAACUGAUGCAUUUUCCAU